rnacentral:rRNA from 1 species
UUGCUCCUGGAUUCAGCGGCGGACGGGUGAGUAAUGCCUAGGAAUCUGCCUGGUAGUGGGGGAUAACGUCCGGAAACGGGCGCUAAUACCGCAUACGUCCUGAGGGAGAAAGUGGGGGAUCUUCGGACCUCACGCUAUCAGAUGAGCCUAGGUCGGAUUAGCUAGUUGGUGGGGUAAAGGCCUACCAAGGCGACGAUCCGUAACUGGUCUGAGAGGAUGAUCAGUCACACUGGAACUGAGACACGGUCCAGACUCCUACGGGAGGCAGCAGUGGGGAAUAUUGGACAAUGGGCGAAAGCCUGAUCCAGCCAUGCCGCGUGUGUGAAGAAGGUCUUCGGAUUGUAAAGCACUUUAAGUUGGGAGGAAGGGCAGUAAGUUAAUACCUUGCUGUUUUGACGUUACCAACAGAAUAAGCACCGGCUAACUUCGUGCCAGCAGCCGCGGUAAUACGAAGGGUGCAAGCGUUAAUCGGAAUUACUGGGCGUAAAGCGCGCGUAGGUGGUUCAGCAAGUUGGAUGUGAAAUCCCCGGGCUCAACCUGGGAACUGCAUCCAAAACUACUGAGCUAGAGUACGGUAGAGGGUGGUGGAAUUUCCUGUGUAGCGGUGAAUGCGUAGAUAAUAGGAGACACCAGUGGCGAGGCGACCACUGACUGAUACUGACACUG